rnacentral:rRNA from 1 species
AUUGAACGCUGGCGGCAGGCCUAACACAUGCAAGUCGAACGAGUGGCGGACGGGUGAGUAAUGUCUGGGAAACUGCCCGAUGGAGGGGGAUAACUACUGGAAACGGUAGCUAAUACCGCAUACCAUCGGAUGUGCCCAGAUGGGAUUAGAUAGUAGGUGGGGUAACGGCUCACCUAGGCGACGACCCCUAGCUGGUCUGAGAGGAUGACCAGCAACCCUGGAUCUGAAACACGGUCCAGACCCCUACGGGGGGCAGGAGGGGGGAAUAUUGCAAAAGGGGGGAAAGCCUGAGGCAGCCAUGCCGGGUGUAUGAAGAAGGCCUUCGGUUGUAAAGUACUUUCAGCGAGGAGGCGUUACUCGCAGAAGAAGCACCGGCUAACUCCGUGCCAGCAGCCGCGGUAAUAC